GGGGAAUUUUCCGCAAUGGGCGCAAGCCUGACGGAGCAACGCCGCGUGAGGGAGGAAGGCCUGUGGGUUGUAAACCUCUUUUCUCAAGGAAGAACACAAUGACGGUACUUGAGGAAUCAGCAUCGGCUAACUCCGUGCCAGCAGCCGCGGUAAGACAGAGGAUGCAAGCGUUAUCCGGAAUUAUUGGGCGUAAAGCGUCCGUAGGUGGUUAUAAAAGUCUGUUGUUAAAGCCCACAGCUCAACUGUGGAUCGGCAAUGGAAACUGUAUGACUUGAGUGUGGUAGGGGUAGAGGGAAUUCCUAGUGUAGCGGUGAAAUGCGUAGAUAUUAGGAAGAACACCAGUGGCGAAGGCGCUCUACUGGGCCAUAACUGACACUGAUGGACGAAAGCUAGGGGAGCGAAAGGGAUUAGAUACCCCUGUAGUC
rnacentral:rRNA from 1 species